rnacentral:lncRNA from 1 species
AUUUAUGUGCGCUCAGAGAUCAAUCACACACAUAAGCCACAAAUUAAAUACCAUCAUCGCAGUGUUUACAACAAACGUAGUUGUUACAUCACAAAGUCUGGUACAACAGCGGAAAUAUAAAUAAGAUAAUAUAAGAUAACUAUCUCAUGGCCCUCACACAGGGAAGGUCGACUGGUGAAGCACAAGCCUAAUAGUUCUCCGGGUAGUCCUCGUAGCUACCACCAUCUGUUACUCAUCCGGGAUUUUUAUCCAAAGAAAAGAAAUAUACAAGCGUGAGUACAUCUCGUACUCCACAAGCAUAGCAUGAGGAUUUAUGAGGCUCAAACAGGCUAAUCUAGGUUUAUAGCGUCAGCAUUUUAGUAGGUCAGCAUUUUAUCAUUAAUUAUCAUUAGGUUAUGCUUAAGCUCCCAAGUAUCUCAUAUGAUCAGUUAUCAGAACCAUAGUAAGUCAUUAAGUCACAUUAAAGCAUAAUUAUACAUCAUCAUGUACCAUAUAGCCAUCAGUAACCAGUUAUUCUGUGAGUUUUCCGGGCAGCUCGUGACCAUGAGCACGGCUGUUAUAACAGUUAUACACUCUGCAGAGGUUGUGCACUUUCACCGUGAGUCGUGUUGCCCAUAUGCCCGGGGUCCGUCGACCCCCAAACACUACCAAGGUGAGCGGGCAGGGUACACUAUGAAGCCUUCCAUAGGCCUAUUCUAACCAGUUAGGGCCGCGAGGUUUCCUCGGCAGGCAGAUGUAGAAAACCUCCAUUUUCUAUGGCACAUUUCCAUCGCGGCUAUACUCAUAGAAACAGGGACAGCACUACACCCAAAGUGGCAAGCCCCUCUUGCGCCCUUUCGGAUAACCUCUAACGAGUUAGAAAAGAUCCUAUUACUGAGCUAAAGUCAGAGCCAUGUGACUCUCCCGGUUGCACUAUAAGUCCCAGCUUUUGCCGAUAGAUAAGUCCUUACGGAGGGUCUAGGACAAUGUGACCAACGGUCAUUUGUACCAUAGCCCUAUGUUUCAUUUAUCAUAAUCAUGUUUAAUCAAUUAACCAUGGUUCCAUCACUGAUUUCAGAUCGUAUAUAAUUAGAGUUAGAGCACUAGCACUUCUACCCAUAUGCAAUAAAAACCCUCGGAAACAAGGUAAUUGUCAUCAACAGCUAGGAUGUCCUUAUAGUUUGCAAUAGUAUACACAUACAGGGUGAAAUGCUUAAAAAUGAGUAGGACAACAAGGUAGGCCCAUGCUAUACUUGCCUUGGUUCACGUACUCCUGCUGGUCUUGCUGGUCCUGAUGGUCCCCAAAUGAAAGGUCCUAAUAUAGCUAGAGGGGGGUGAAUAGCCUAUUUGAAAAAUCUACAAGGCACUAGAGGAAAGAAUUAAUAUAACAAAAGGCGUAAAGCAAUUUUGCUCUAGCUCUACAAAGGUUGCAAGCAACCUAUCCAAUAAUUCUAGUUGCUAUGAUCUCUAAGCACAAGCAAUGGCUAUGUCACUACUCUUUACAACUAGUUACAACUAGCUAAAACUAGGAACUACUAGUUACAACUAAUUUGCAAGAAGGUAAAGAGAUGAGAGAUAAUUAUACCGGUGUGUAGAGGAUGAGCCAAUCACAAUGUGUAUCAAUAUAUUCACCGGAAGAAUAUCAAUCACAAUAUGG